UUCCCUGAUGUAAAGUAGGAAAAACAGAUAAGUGCAUAUUCACAGUCUAGCUUAACAGUCAUUCUGGUGAUGGAGGUAUGCAUACAUUGCCUUAUUCCUUCUUUGAUAAUAGUUCCUAUAGUUUUCUCUAACAUACUGGCAGAAGAAGACUGAUUCUGCAACACAGAUGGCAAUGACUGUCUUCAGAAUUUCACCUGAAUGUGGAAGCCUUCUCCAGUCUCUUGGAUGAGAUUUACCAGCAUCACUAACCAUCUUCCCAUAUACUAUAAUAUUCCAGAAGAGAGAACAGGAGAGUUUGGUGGGCCAUGUGUCCCAGUCCCAGUGAAGGGUGAGAUGGGCUGUAUUGCUGGUGGGGAACAACAAUGUUCUCUGAAGGAGGAUACAGAGUCUGGGAGUUGAGUGUGUAAAUGAUGUGGAGGUAAGGGUGGAAGGUAUGUCACAGAAUCCCACACAGGAAAGGUGAAGAGAUCAACAUGAACUGUCUUCCUUUUCUUGAAAAGGAGUGGCUUGGCUGUUAUCAGGACUAGGGAUAUGCACAUUCUAAUUCUGGUAUAUGCUGGAUUCUCUCUGUCACGCAAAUUAGUAGUGGUGAAGGACAUUAGGAGACUGCAGCAUGGAACAUCUGCAGAAAUGUGCAUAGUGCAAACUGAAUCCCUGGGGCUGGAAUGUUCUUUCUCCUAUUCUCACACCACCUGUCUUUUUAGUUGGCUAAGUUCUGUUCAUGUUUUUGGUAUUGGUUUAGAUAACAACUUCCUCAGAGGAGCCUGAAGUGACACUCUAUUAUGCUCCUUUGUUGUUCUCUCUUGCAGCACCCCAGCCUUUCCUGUUUCACACCAUAAUACACAUAUACAUGGUAUGCUCAGACGCAUGUGUUGGAGUGUGUUUAACAGUGUUUAAAAUGUUUUUUUCUUUUUGCCUCAAUGGAAAGCUCUAGGAGGUUAGAGGUCAUGGUUAUCACUAAUUUAGUACACUGGUAGGGGCCUAAUACAUAUCGCUACACUGAGAAUGAUCAACACAUGUUGAAAAUGGUUAUGAAGCUCUGACUCAUUCAUGUGUUCCCUUGUACAAUUGCUGCAGAUCUCUCCAUACUGACAUGUGCCACAUAUAGUUUACUCUUCUGUCCACAUGUCUGCCUCUCUUAGCUGAUCAGUGAGUGAGA